AUUUAAAUAAUUUAAUUAAAAUAUUGAUUUGUGGUAUCAAAAAUAUGAUUUUUAUAAAUAUCAUUUUAAAUC
rnacentral:tRNA from 1 species